GACGGAGGGUGCAAGCGUUGUCCGGAGUUACUGGGCGUAAAGGGUGCGCAGGCGGUUCGUUUUGUGGGUGGUGAAAUCUCCUGGCUCAACUGGGAGGGUGCCAUCCAAACGGGCGAACUUGAGGCGUGGAGAGGGACGUGGAAUUCCGGGUGGAGCGGUGAAAUGCGUAGAGAUCCGGAGGAACACCGACGGCGAAGGCAGCGUCCUGGCCACGACCUGACGCUCAGGCACGAAAGCUGGGGGAGCAAACAG
rnacentral:rRNA from 1 species